rnacentral:lncRNA from 1 species
CUGCUCGUUGUCGAACGUCACCGCCAGCCCCAGUGAGGGCAUGUCCGGCUGGCAGAAGAGCACCUCGGACAGGCUGUGCACCGGCGGCUCUGCGGCGCGGGUGCAGGGUCAGUGGCAGGCGUGCAACACGCGCACGCGGUGCAUGCAUGCAUGUACUGCACGUGGCCAUGUGUGUAGUGUGCGUGCACGGCGUGCUGUGCAUAUGCAUGCACUGUGCGUGAGCAUUUGAACACACAGUGCAUGCACAUUUGCACACGCUGUGCAUGCACGUGCAUUUGCACACACCGUGUGGUUGCGUUUGCACGCACCAUGCGUGCCCGUUUGCACACGCUGUGCAUGCACAUGCAUUUGCACACACCAUGCAUGCACGCACACUGUGCACUGCAUGGACAUCCACUUUGCACACGCACACGCCAUGCAAAGGUUCACAGUCUGCUUGUGCACUCCUUGCAUGGGCACGCUGCAUGUGCACGUGCUCACACGUCGCGUGAGCACAGAUGCACUGCACACACGCAUCCGUCUGCUUGUCCACACACGCUGCAUGCACACAUGCUGUGCAGGGAUACACACGCAGAGUGUGCAUGCACACACGUGCUCUGCUUGGAUGCACCCAUGCUGUGCGUGGGCACGCUGCAUGCGUGCACUGGCCUUGCACACAUGCUGUGUUCACACCCACUGUGCACGCACACUCUGCAUACGCCCACCAUGCAUGAAAACAUGCAGCAACACACACACUGCUGCUACUUAUGCAAGGGGCCACCCCAUGGCCCUGUGCGUAACCCCCCUUGCACCCUACCCACAGCUCUUUGCCCUGCUAUGCGUACACUCCUGCUCACACUCGUGUGCACAAAUGCGCAGACAAACCCAUGCACGGCUCUGUGUGCUAGCACAGAGCCCCUUGCACUAGCACACAGCCUGUCCUGCUCACACUCCGUGCAUUAAUGGGCAUACUGCUCUGUGCAAAGUCGCUUGUGCUAAUGCACAGUCACCUCUUGCACACUGCACACAGUCCCUUGCACUACUGCACGGCCACCGCUUGCACACUGCAUAGAUCCCCUUGCACUACUGCACAGCCACCCCUUGCAUGCCAUGCACAGCCCCUUGCACUACUGUAUAGCCACCUCUUGCACACUGCACAGCCCCUUUCAUUACUGGACAUAGCCCCUUGCACACUGUGAACGGCCCCUUGCACUAUUGCACAGCCACUCCUUGCACACUGCACAGCCCCUUGCACGAGCACACAACCCCUUGCACUAUUGCACAGCCACCCCUUGCACACUACAUAACCACCCCUUGCACUACAACACGCAGCCCCUCGCACUACUGCAUGGCCACCCCUUGCACUACCACACACAACCCCUUGCACACUGCACAGCCACUUGCACUAGCACACAGCCCCUUGCACACUACAUAGCCACCCCUUGCACUACAACACGCAGCCCCUUGCACACUGCACAGCCCCUUGCACUAGCACACAGCCCAUUGCACACUACAUAGCCACCCCUUGCACUACUGCACACAGCCCCUUCCACUUACACACAACCCCUUGCACACUACAUAGCCACACUUUGCACUACUGCACGGCCACCCUUUGCACACUGUGCACAGCCCCUUGCACUUACACGCAGUCCCUUGGACCACUGCACAGAGCCCCUUGCACACUGCACAGCCCCUUGCACUAGCACACAGCCCCUUGCACACUGCAUAGCCACACUUUGCACUACUGCACGGCCACCCUUUGCACACUGUGCACAGCCCUUUGCCCUAGCACACAGCCCCUUGCACUACUGCACAGCCACCCCUUGCACUACCGCACACAGCCCCUUGCACACCGCACAGCCCCUUGCACUAGCACACAACCCCUUACACUACC